UAGCUCCGGUCACUGCUUCCCCUAUCUCCGACCUGCCAGUCUUAGUGCAAAGACAAGAGAGACCGACCCCGAUUUGGUAUUGCCGGCCCACCUCAAGCAAUUUUCGACUACUCUUCAAUUAGGAAGUAAGUUUUUCCUUUAAUUCGAUUUAGGCUAUGUUUGUUCGACGCAGGGCAAUAGAGAAAUUUUUCUAGUUCCAUAAAUAUUUUGCUAUGUAACUAUA